rnacentral:rRNA from 1 species
UAGGGAAUCUUCGGCAAUGGACGAAAGUCUGACCGAGCAACGCCGCGUGAGGGAAGAAGGUUUUCGGAUCGUAAAACUCUGUUGUUAGAGAAGAACAAGGACGUUAGUAACUGAACGUCCCCUGACGGUAUCUAACCAGAAAGCCACGGCUAACUACGUGCCAGCAGCCGCGGUAAUACGUAGGUGGCAAGCGUUGUCCGGAUUUAUUGGGCGUAAAGCGAGCGCAGGCGGUUGCUUAAGUCUGAUGUGAAAGCCCCCGGCUCAACCGGGGAGGGUCAUUGGAAACUGGGGGACUUGAGUGCAGAAGAGGAGGGUGGAAUUCCAUGUGUAGCGGUGACAUACGUAGAUAUAUGGAGGAACGCCAGUGGCGAAGGCGGCUCUCUGGACUGUAACUGACGCUGAGGCUCGAAAGCGUGGGGAGCAAACAGG